AGGUUUUCUUCUUCCAGACCCAAUCUGAGGGCAGAGUGUUUUCCUUCCACUCUUUACUAUUUUUGUUCACCUACAGUUGCUGUUCAAAGAUCUCCGGAGGGGUCUCCCUGUUGACCAAACUCAACCAAAAACCCAGUAGAUAAGGGAACUCAUUGAUGUAGUCCAUGCAAUGUAGACUCCCUGGGAAGAGAUACAGGGAAAAGGGAUGGAGAUUUGAUCUGGAAGGACAAGAUGUGAGUGUACAUAAAAACUGGAACUGAAGAAGACUAAGUGAUGAAUCGCAACAGAAGCCCAAAGAGAAGGAUGUGAGUCGUUAAGAUUGUUCAAACAUGUAUAAUCAUCCACUUGGAACUCCAGCCAUGGAAAGGCAGCUUCUGUGACCAGCCACAGGAUCACCAUGGGUAGCUCUUACAAGCAAAGAACCCCAAAGAAAUGGCACUGUGAAAACUAUGACAUCUUAUUUUAGUAGAAAUGCCUUUAGUGAAUCCUUUGGAUACUGCUUCUUAAGUCUAAAUUACAUUGUAAUCUGUUCUGUGGGAAAGGUGAUUUAUGAGGUCAAAGCAUCUUUCGAAGACGUAUGGAUGCAGCUGGAGAUAUGGUGCCUUUGAAAUUCUUUCAUCAUCAAUAUUCCAACUCUCUUAAGUACAGCAAAUAUGUCAUUAUAGUUUUCUACAAUAUUACAAAAUUUAGGGAUGCUAUGAAAUUCAUAGAAGAAAUUUAGUGUUUUUCACCCACGCAGGCCAACAUCUCUGAAGCAAACAUAAAGGGAAGAUGCAUGGUGUUACCAAAACCUAUACAACAUUAUUUUUAAAAAUUUGGAAACAGCGGAAAAUCAUCCAUAAUUUUGCCAUCACGAUUUAACCAGUAACAUCUUUAUAUAAUCUCUUCUAGUCAUUUGUGGGUUUUAUGUCCUUGUAGUCAUGUAAAAUGAGUAUAUGCUUUUUUACUUUGGAUUAUAACAUAGUCUUUUUCAUUCUGCUACAUAUUCUUCAUAAAGUUUAUUGUUAAUGGCUGCCUAUUAUUCUGACUGUUCACUUAUUUUGAGAUUAACAAUUUUUUAUUAUUAUAAGUAAUGGAAAGAUGAUUACCUUUUUACACAUUGACCUUUUUAUUAUUAUUUUGAAUUAGUUCUUUAGAAUAAAAUUCCAGGAAUCAACUAACCGGUUAUCAUUUAAUAUUUUGGUAAUUUAACAUUAAAAAUAGUUCUUUAUUUUAUAUUUCUUUGAUAGUAGCUAGAUUUGACAUUGUUCUACAACUUGUUUACUGUCUGUAGUUUACUUACAUUUUUCUUUUUUAAAGAUUUUAUUUAUUUAUUUGAAAGAGAG